rnacentral:lncRNA from 1 species
CAUCAGUAUCAACUGACAUUGGGUGGGAUAUUUAAAACUCAGCAACAUAUACUUACUCAUUCAAAGAACAUAAAGAAUGAUUUGGUACUACCAGACAAGUUGGAAAGUGAUGGGAGAAUCAGAGAGAAUUAAGUCCCAAAUUGUAUAUAUAAACUCUGACCAAAUUUCUGAAGUGCAUAAUUUGAGACAGAUGUCAAGCAGUCCAGAAUAGCCUACCAGAACUGAACAGAAAUUUCAGCUGGUGCAUGCUGCAAUAGAGAAUUUAGAAUUGAGUGAAACCCAGUUAACUUCCUGAAAAAAUAUUCUUCAGAGUAUCCCAGAUCAUUAGAUCUCAUUCAUAUUUCCCAAGAUACACUGUAAAAUCAUUGAAAAUACAAAGAAACAAGACAGCAUGACCCAUACACAAGAGAAAAGGUAGUUAAUGGAGACCAACACCAAAAUCAACUAGAUGUUGGACUUAAUAGACAAGGACUCACUAUAACUAAUAUAGCCAGGAUAAAAGAUGAAUAAACAUUAUAAAAUUACAAUGAUGAAUAAAUAAGAAAUGUUAGAAAAAAUUACUAUUAUUUAACUGAAAUAGUGAAACUUAAAAAAAAAAAAAAAGAACCAGGAUCAAACUAAGAAAAUUUUGAAGUCAUAAAGAAAUACUAUCAGAACUUAAAGUUUGAUCAUUAAAAGCUGUGUAAUCUGAUAAUAAUGAACAGAGUCUCCAGUGACAUACAGACAAUUACCAAGAGGGACUAGAGUUAUGGCUCAAGGGUAGAGUGCUUGCCUGGCAUGUCUGAGGCCCUGGGUUUGAUCCUCAGCACCAUAUAAAUAUAUUUAUAUUAAAAAAAGAAGAAGAAAAUAAAAAAUAACUUAACUCACGGAAAGUCAUAAAACACAGCAGAAAUAAACCAUAAACUAGCUGAGUUGAAUGAGGAAAAAGGGGGACUCAUAUCCCUCAUGAGCAUUUUUGCAGCAAAAUCUUCAAUAAAAUACUAGCAAACCAAAUUCAGCAGCCCAUUAAAUGGAUCAUACACCAGGAUCAACUGGAAAUGAUUCUUAAGGAUGGUUCAACAUAUAUAAACCAAUAAAUGUGAUAAACCAGAUUUACAAUACAAAGAAGAAAAGAACAGGGUCAUCUCAAUAGACUCAGAAAAAGCAUUUUACAAGUUCAAUGUCCGUUCAGGAUUAAAAACUCAACAAGUUAGGUAAACAAAGAACUUCUCUCAACAUAGGAAAGACCUAUAACUAACAUCAAAACCAAUGGGGAAAACCUGAAAGCUUUACCUAAAAGUGGAAAGGUUAUCCACUCUUACCACUUCUAUUUAGCAUAGUAGAAUUCCUUGCCACAGGAAUUAAAUAAGAAAAAGAAACAAAGGUCUCUAAAUUGGUAAAGAAGGACUAAAAAAAAAGUAUAUCUGUUUGCAGGAAAUGUGAUUAUAUAUUUAUGAACAUUAAAUUUCAAAAAAGUUAGAAUAAACCAAUUCAAUAAAAUUGAAAGACAC